rnacentral:rRNA from 1 species
AGUGAGAAUGCCGGUGUGAGUAGCGAAAGACGGGUGAGAAUCCCGUCCACCGAUUGACUAAGGUUUCCAGAGGAAGGCUCGUCCGCUCUGGGUUAGUCGGGUCCUAAGCUGAGGCCGACAGGCGUAGGCGAUGGAUAACAGGUUGAUAUUCCUGUACCACCUAUAAUCGUUUUAAUCGAUGGGGGGACGCAGUAGGAUAGGCGAAGCGUGCGAUUGGAUUGCACGUCUAAGCAGUAAGGCUGAGUAUUAGGCAAAUCCGGUACUCGUUAAGGCUGAGCUGUGAUGGGGAGAAGACAUUGUGUCUUCGAGUCGUUGAUUUCACACUGCCGAGAAAAGCCUCUAGAUAGAAAAUAGGUGCCCGUACCGCAAACCGACACAGGUAGUCAAGAUGAGAAUUCUAAGGUGAGCGAGCGAACUCUCGUUAAGGAACUCGGCAAAAUGACCCCGUAACUUCGGGAGAAGGGGUGCUCUUUAGGGUUAACGCCCAGAAGAGCCGCAGUGAAUAGGCCCAAGCGACUGUUUAUCAAAAACACAGGUCUCUGCUAAACCGUAAGGUGAUGUAUAGGGGCUGACGCCUGCCCGGUGCUGGAAGGUUAAGAGGAGUGGUUAGCUUCUGCGAAGCUACGAAUCGAAGCCCCAGUAAACGGCGGCCGUAACUAUAACGGUCCUAAGGUAGCGAAAUUCCUUGUCGGGUAAGUUCCGACCCGCACGAAAGGCGUAACGAUUUGGGCACUGUCUCAACGAGAGACUCGGUGAAAUCAUAGUACCUGUGAAGAUGCAGGUUACCCGCGACAGGACGGAAAGACCCCGUGGAGCUUUACUGUAGCCUGAUAUUGAAAUUCGGCACAGCUUGUACAGGAUAGGUAGGAGCCUUUGAAACGUGAGCGCUAGCUUACGUGGAGGCGCUGGUGGGAUACUACCCUAGCUGUGUUGGCUUUCUAACCCGCACCACUUAUCGUGGUGGGAGACAGUGUCAGGCGGGCAGUUUGACUGGGGCGGUCGCCUCCUAAAAGGUAACGGAGGCGCUCAAAGGUUCCCUCAGAAUGGUUGGAAAUCAUUCAUAGAGUGUAAAGGCAUAAGGGAGCUUGACUGCGAGACCUACAAGUCGAGCAGGGUCGAAAGACGGACUUAGUGAUCCGGUGGUUCCGCAUGGAAGGGCCAUCGCUCAACGGAUAAAAGCUACCCCGGGGAUAACAGGCUUAUCUCCCCCAAGAGUUCACAUCGACGGGGAGGUUUGGCACCUCGAU